GACGAACGCUGGCGGCGUGCUUAACACAUGCAAGUCGAACGGAAAGGCCCUGCUUUUGUGGGGUUCUCGAGUGGCGAACGGGUGAGUAACACGUGAGUAACCUGCCCUUGACUUUGGGAUAACUUCAGGAAACUGGGGCUAAUACCGGAGAGGAGCUCCUGCUGCGUGGGGGGGGUUGGAAAGUUUCGGCGGUUGGGGAUGGACUCGCGGCUUAUCAGCUUGUUGGGGGGGUAGUGGCUUACCACGGCUUUGACGGGUAGCCGGCCUGAGAGGGUGACCGGCCACAUUGGGCCUGAGAUACGGACCAGACUCCUACGGGAGGCAGCAGUGGGGAAUAUUGCACAAUGGGCGGAAGCCUGAUGCAGCAACGCCGCGUGCGGGAUGACGGCCUUCGGGUUGUAAACCGCUUUCGCCUGUGACGAAGCGUGAGUGACGGUAAUGGGUAAAGAAGCACCGGCUAACUACGUG
rnacentral:rRNA from 1 species